ensembl:snRNA U6 U6 spliceosomal RNA
GCACUCACUUCCACAUCACAUGUACUGAAAUUGGGAAGAUACAGACAAGAUUAGCAGGGCCCCUGUACAACGAUGACAUAAAAACUUGUGUUCUAUAUUAAAAAUAG